UUUAUUCUUUUCUAUAUUCUCAGAGAUACCAGUACUAGGUGAACUGAGAAAAUGUAGAAUAACGUGUCCUGCCGUCAGACACAACGGACCACCUGCAAGUGGAUCUGAACUCCAAAAUGUUUGAGCAGGUCUAGGACUCCAUUCUGAGCAGCUUUCCGCAAGUGUACCCUCCUAACCCGUAAGUUACUUCCAGCAGCUAUAACAAAUAAAAUUGAAAAUCCACAAAAAAAUGAAAAAACUUUUUACAUAAAAUGCAAAAUGCAACCAAAAAAAUGAAAAAAAACAGUGAAAGAAAAAACGAUUAACAAAAAGAACAUUCUGUACAAAAGACCCAGCAACAACAUGAACAACAACAACAACAACCAAAAUUUUCUACUAUCUCAGAUGUCACGUGAUAAGCUUGCUUGCCUUGAACUUCCUUCUGUUACAACGAACCAAAUUAUAACGUUUUAAAUUUUUCUCUCCGGCGUCGAGGUCAACAAUGGCGAAGACAAUGAAACUACAGAAAGAGAAAACAAGAAAAAUAUCAAAAAAAAAAGGACAUAAAAGAAAAAUUUCAGAAAAAAAAGUUUUUUUUUUAAUUGUUGGACAAAAUGGAACUCGGCUCGUUGAAUA